UACGUAGGGGGCUAGCGUUGUCCGGAAUCAUUGGGCGUAAAGGGCUCGUAGGCGGUUUGUCGCGUCGGGAGUGAAAACCUCGGGCUUAACUCGGGGCUUGCUUUCGAUACGGGCAGGCUCGAGUUCGGUAGGGGAGACUGGAAUUCCUGGUGUAGCGGUGAAAUGCGCAGAUAUCAGGAGGAACACCGAUGGCGAAGGCAGGUCUCUGGGCCGAUACUGACGCUGAGGAGCGAAAGCGUGGGGAGCGAACAGG
rnacentral:rRNA from 1 species